rnacentral:rRNA from 1 species
CCUACGGGGUGCUGCAGUGGGGAAUAUUGGACAAUGGGCGAAAGCCUGAUCCAGCCAUGCCGCGUGUGUGAAGAAGGCCUUCGGGUUGUAAAGCACUUUCAGUGGGGAAGAAAGCCUUGGGGCUAAUACCCUCGAGGAAGGACAUCACCCACAGAAGAAGCACCGGCUAACUCCGUGCCAGCAGCCGCGGUAAUACGGAGGGUGCGAGCGUUAAUCGGAAUUACUGGGCGUAAAGCGCGCGUAGGCGGUCUGAUAAGCCGGUUGUGAAAGCCCCGGGCUCAACCUGGGAACGGCAUCCGGAACUGUCAGGCUAGAGUGCAGGAGAGGAAGGUAGAAUUCUCGGUGUAGCGGUGAAAUGCGUAGAGAUCGGGAGGAAUACCAGUGGCGAAGGCGGCCUUCUGGACUGACACUGACGCUGAGGUGCGAAAGCGUGGGUAGCAAACAGGAUUAGAUACCCUAGUAGUC